UACGGAGGGUGCGAGCGUUGUCCGGAAUCACUGGGCGUAAAGGGCGCGUAGGCGGUGAGAUGCGUCCGUUGUGAAAUCGCCCGGCUCAACUGGGCGGGGUCAGCGGAUACGGUCUCACUUGAGCAAGCUAGGGGGCAAUGGAAUUCCCGGUGUAGUGGUGGAAUGCGUAGAUAUCGGGAGGAACACCAGUGGCGAAGGCGGUUGCCUGGGGCUUUGCUGACGCUGAGGCGCGAAAGCGUGGGGAGCGAUCCGG
rnacentral:rRNA from 1 species